CUGAAAUGGUCUUGAAAGCUUAAUAGGUAAUGGAGACUACACUCAAAUGUGUUAGAUACUCCCGCGUUAUCAUUGCAGACACCUUGAUCAGAAUUUUGGUUGCAGCAAGUGAGAAUGGAAUUGAAAUUUCGCAUUCUGGGCAUUUAAACUCCUGCAGGUUUAUUUUCCUUUAUACUUAAUAAUUCCCCUUUUAUGUCACCUAGGCACAUGAAUAUUGUGGAUUUAGUGCAGUUUUAUGAAGGCUUGAUUCAUUUAUGUGCAACUUAAUUUCUUCCCAGCUGCUGUUGUGAGGAGGGCCAUGCAUUUGUGUACUGCUCAGCAGAUGGUCCCAACCUGCAGCAGCAGGCUCUGCAUUGUGUGUCCAGCCGCUGGAAGGAGCAGCUUUCACUUCAGGCUUUUCAGUAGGACCCAACCUUCAUCUGCUGUGGGAGUUUUUUUCAGCCUCAAAAUAAAGCAAACCCCUUUUGAACUCUGAGAGUCUUCUCCAGGAUAGAAGAGUCCCCAAGUGUUAAUGCACAACAUAUUAAUACAGGGGAAAAAGAUUCCUUAGUCUCUUUUUAAAUGUUGUGUUUCUGUUGGAAGUUUCCAAAGGAAAUCUACCUGAGAGAAAUACCGAGGAUAGAAAGUAAAAUUGGGUAUAAUAAUUUGCAAUAGCAAAUCUGAGGAUAUUUUUAGCUGCAUGCGUUGCUAUCCGUGGAGCCUAUCAAAACAAGAGCCCGUUUCAUCCCUCCUGUGUUUCUGAUGGUUCGUGUGAGAUGUUUGUGGACCAAUAUUGCAGUCAGAAAAAUGCAACCUCUUGUGAGAUGGUCACAGCACUGGGCAACAUUUCUGUUCAAGAAAUGAAAAUAGAAAAACGCAUCAAGUGCAUCUUUGGAGUAAACUUUAGGUAGGCAGUUAAAUAUUCAGCUGGAAUGCAUUCAGGAUUACAGCCGUCUGUGGAAAACAAGUACAAUCAACCUAAAAUGCUGGAAGAGACUUUUCAUUUCUCUUUUCAUAUUUUGUUCAAAAAUAUUAAAGCAAUUCAGAGGAAAUAAUUCAAGCCUGUAAAAAUCUGUAUUGAAAGAAAAGAAAAUCACAUAACAGCUGUAGCUGAAACAAUGCUUUUGACGUAGAACACUUCUGAGAUAAUUAAGCUAAAUAUUCAGACUGUGUGUGUGUGCCUCUAGGCAAGCAUUUAAUCAUCUGUUUUUUUUGUUGUUACUGUAAGGGUAGUUAUUUAUGGUAAUUUGCCAGUGAUGAGUGGAAAGCAGUGCUGCUAAUCUUCAUCUUCCUUCCCUGUUCUGCUAGGCGUGCUGAAAUGCAGAUAACACACUCUGGUGUAUUAAUCUUGUGAAAGGAUUUAUGGUCACUGUUCUUACUGAUGCUAAUGGAGAUAACGUACAUUCACAAAUCUUGCAAGCCUCCAGAUGGUAGCCUGCUUUCUAGCAAAAGAUUUGGUUGGAUAAUAUUGAGAAAUUUACAAUUAUUUGCUACUAACUGGAGGUUCCCUGGAUAACCCAUGUAAUCUGAAGAUGCUUUGGUAAGAAUAACCAAGUUAUAGAGUAUGGCAAGUGGUUUCUCUCCAUGGUCCAAAUUCCACAAUAGCAGGCCUACUCUACCCAGAGGCUAACAUCCCAGCCUGGCACCCUGGUCUAUUCUUUGUGAGGCAGGCAAUGGAAAGCAACCAGGACAAACAGAUCUCCCUGGCAGCAGGCUAAGCAACUGCCAAGAGAUUAUAGCAGAUCCUUGCCAUGAGCUCAUCCAUAUGUAAACUCAUGCACACUUUUCCUGCCCUGCUGAAGAUGCUCUCAGGAGGAAAGGACUGAACUCUAAUCUCAGUAGUGAUGUGUCCUGGUCCAGGCCGUACUGCGGCCCACUCUCGGCCCUGUGCCAUCAUAGCAGCAGCUCUUCCUGCCCUCACCUGGCCCUGGGUGCACACGCAUAGCUAACAACGAAACAUCAUUGUGUGACUGGCACUGUCUGGGCUGGAGCCAGGGCACACAGGGGGUGCAGUGCAGUGCUAACUCAAGUUAUGGCAAAUAACAGUAUGCGUUGUGAUACACUGGCUAAACACAGUCCUGUGAACAGACAAAAAUAUGCCGCCGUGCUUUCCAUUCGGAUACAGGAAAUUGGGAAUAGGUAUUGAGAUUGCUGAAAACGCAAUCAAUUUGUGUUUGUGACUCCAUUUUCAGUCUCUAUAAAUACAUUACCUGCAAAUUCUCAAAUGCAUGCAUAGAGCUGCAAUCAGAUAUUCAACUCAAAAAUCUGAUCUUGUCACUUUACCAGACUUUUCUAAGCCCUCUCUUACCAGAGCAAACUACCCCUCUCUUGGCAAUCACACCUUGUUCAUGUCAUAGCUUUUUGGCAGUAUGUACAUUUGUGAACAGUUGUCAAGGAUGAAGUACAGGAAGAGUAAAAUUUCAUAAAAAAUCAGUGAAGAACACCUGAGACCUCACCACAAAUUGCAACCACUGCCAUCAAACCAGGCAGAUGCAUUAGUUACACAAAAACGUGGUCAUAUAUCCCACUAGUUUUAUGGUUUUGUUGUUCUUUUUUAAUGUUUUAAUAAAAAUACUAAAAAAUAACUUUUUAUUACUUAUAUAUUAACUAUUGUAUAUUUUACAAGGGCUCUGAAAGUAAUGUCUCCUGUUUUAUGAUGUUGUCCACGAUGUCCGAAGAGGAUGUUGUUGGUAUGGCAGUAGAGGUUGUACCUUCCCACCAAUAUUCCUUAAGUGUUGUUGCUGUGUGACAGAGGCAGCAGAGGUGCAGUCUGACAAAAUGGUGCCUGACAUGGAAGUGUGUAUGGAACAAAGCUGUCACUGAAUUCCUACACAGUGGUACUCAUUGGCAUUCAUUGAUGCUUGCUAAAUGUUUAUGGAGACCAAACAGUGAAUGUAAGCAAAGUGAAGUGGUGCAUUUCAGCAAUGGUGACAGUGACCAUGGGUCUCCUCCACUGAUGCAAGUUUUGUCAGUUGCACCAUGAAGACUUGUGUUCAUCACUGGCAAAAAUGCAUUGCUAGUGGCAGUAACUAUGUUGAAAAACAGUGUUUUGUGGUUGAGAAUUUGCUCUAUCAAGUAGUAGUGUUGUGCCCUUUGUAUCUGUUGUAGUUUCUAUGCAAAUACAACAGAAGGUGUUACUUUCGAAGCAACCUAUGUAUAUGUAUAUUCCUCUUCACUCAAUGCAG
ensembl:lncRNA